rnacentral:lncRNA from 1 species
AGAAAAGAAAAAAAAAUAAAAAAAAAUAAAAAAAGCCUCUCAUCUCCUCGAACUGCCCGACCUUUGGGUCAACCUAGCGCCGCCAUUGCACCACCAUGCGUGGUGGUGGGCGUUGCGCAAAGAUGGCGACCUAAUCCCUGGUCCAGGGCUCAGAUCUUUAGACCUCGCUUUCGAAGCCUCUAAAAACGAGUCCGUCGGACUCAAAAGACCGAAGAAAGAAGGGUAUUUCGUACCCCUUUUGGUUCGAUUCCAACACCGGAGAAGAUCUCCGACGACGGGCUUUCGAAACCGGUGAGUACUCUCCCCUUUUCAAUCAAUUCGUUAAAGAAAAAAAGGAAACAAAUAAGAAGGAAUACAACCAAGAACAGAAAAGGGAGAAGAACCAGGAUCCACCUUUUCCUUUUUUGAUCUCGUUUUUUUUUAUUGCAAUUGACGUUCCUUUUACAAAGAUAGUGUUUUUUCUGCUUUUAUAUCACAUCUAUUUCUAUUAUUUGCUAUUAUUUGCUACUCUCUGCUUUUUCUGUCAUCUUGCAGGCGUUGAUGAGGCUAGGCACGGUGGGUGGCGAUGGGACUAGGCGAACGGCAGAAGGAGGUGUGCGGCGCUAGGCUUGGCUAGGGUUUCAUUUUUCUGAAACCCUAGUUGGAUUUUGGGGGGAAAUUGGGCUCUGAAUUUGGGCCUUGGGUUUUAGGUUGUAAUUGGGCUUGUGGGUUAUUGGGUAGGUUUAGUUGGGCUUGGUUUUGCUGGUAUAGGGCCCGGGCAAAUGGCUUGUACAAAAAGUUUACCCAUAGUUUAGUGACUAGUGUAGUUUACUCAAUGAAAAAUAAAUUUCAACUUUUAUAUUUUGUUGGAAUCUAUAUUCCAAAUGUUGUUUCUUGUAAAGUUUAGUCUCUUAAUCAAGGUAGUCGAUAUCACAUUG